rnacentral:rRNA from 1 species
GCAUCAGGAAGAAAGCUUGCUUUCUUUGCUGGCGACCGGCGCACGGGUGAGUAACACGUAUCCAACCUGCCCUUUACUCGGGGAUAGCCUUUCGAAAGAAAGAUUAAUACCCGAUGGGAUAAUCAUUCCGCAUGGUUUGAUUAUUAAAGGAUUCCGGUAAAGGAUGGGGAUGCGUUCCAUUAGGUUGUUGGUGAGGUAACGGCCCACCAAGCCUUCGAUGGAUAGGGGUUCUGAGAGGAAGGUCCCCCACAUUGGAACUGAGACACGGUCCAAACUCCUACGGGAGGCAGCAGUGAGGAAUAUUGGUCAAUGGGCGCGAGCCUGAACCAGCCAAGUAGCGUGAAGGAUGACUGCCCUAUGGGUUGUAAACUUCUUUUAUAUUAGAAUAAAGUGCAGUAUGUAUACUGUUUUGUAUGUAUAAUAUGAAUAAGGAUCGGCUAACUCCGUGCCAGCAGCCACGGUAAUACGGAGGAUCCGAGCGUUAUCCGGAUUUAUUGGGUUUAAAGGGAGCGUAGGUGGACUGGUAAGUCAGUUGUGAAAGUUUGCGGCUCAACCGUAAAAUUGCAGUUGAUACUGUCAGUCUUGAGUACAGUAGAGGUGGGCGGAAUUCGUGGUGUAGCGGUGAAAUGCUUAGAUAUCACGAAGACUCCGAUUGCGAAGGCAGCUCACUGGACUG